GACGAACGCUGGCGGCGUGCUUAACACAUGCAAGUCGAACGGAAAGGCCCCUUUGGGGGUACUCGAGUGGCGAACGGGUGAGUAACACGUGAGUAACCUGCCCUUGACUUCGGGAUAACUUCAGGAAACUGGGGCUAAUACCGGAUAGGAAUCCUUGCUGCAUGGUGGGGGUUGGAAAGCUUCGGCGGUUUUGGAUGGACUCGCGGCUUAUCAGCUUGUUGGUGGGGUAGUGGCUUACCAAGGCUUUGACGGGUAGCCGGCCUGAGAGGGCGACCGGCCACAUUGGGACUGAGAUACGGCCCAGACUCCUACGGUAGGCAGCAGUGGGGAAUAUUGCACAAUGGGCGGAAGCCUGAUGCAGCAACGCCGCGUGCGGGAUGACGGCCUUCGGGUUGUAACCGCUUUCAGCAGGGGCGAAGCUUGUGGUGACGGUACCUGCAGAAGAAGCACCGGCUAACUACGUG
rnacentral:rRNA from 1 species